rfam:Octopus bimaculoides Scaffold15771_contig_529, whole genome shotgun sequence.
GGAUGUAAUGAUGCCUAAUCAUCUUUCGGGACCAAAAGUCAUUUGAGGAUAUUUCUUUAACUGAACAUCU